AAAAAACUCAAAGGAAUUGCAGGUUCCGGUAGAAGCCUUGGGAGCAGGAAGCAGCCACGAAAGAGAGAAGGUCUGCAACUGCCCCAGGUGUCCCACCCAGAAGAUAGCUGUGGUGAAACGGACCCAGAAAUCCAGCUAUCUAAAAAAAUUCUGCUUCUCUCUUGGGUAGGUAAAAUGUUCUCAUUGCAUGUACAUUUGCUAAGUUACAUCUGGAGCACCACAGAGAUAAGAUGCUUCUGACUAGUGCUGGAACAUCAUGGGAGAAACAGUGUAAGCAAAAAAGAGAAAGGUGCUGCAAGUUUAGAGUGGUGUGUAUGCAAACUUAGUGGAGCCACAGGAUGAAGUAAUCUGGG